CGGCUGCACCGCACCCUGGGUAUUGAAGUCCGGGAAUUGGAGGAGGAGAAGCCAGAGAGAUGGGACACUCCGGCCCCCUUGUCUGAGCCCCAGAGAACUCUGGUCCACCAGGUGUCAGUAGAGGGCUCCUCCCAGCAGUACGAGGGUCAUCAUGCCAACGGCGAGGUCAGAGGUCAGGCUGGGCGUGACGGCAGGCGGGUGGUGGUGCCUGACCUCCAGCGCUAGUAAUCCUCGACGACAUCAGCGCCAGAGGAGGAAGGCGGGUCCUGGAGCCCUCAGGUUCCUGCGGCAG